GUGAAGCAGCAGUCAUGAUUUUCAUGUUCAGAAUUCCAGAGCAGGCAUCGUUAGAGCUCAUGAACAGUGCCACUUAUCUUUUGGCUCACUUUGCUGGUAUAGGAACAGCAGUCAGGCCUAUAAUUGCUCCAGCUUCCUCUGAAUCCUCUUACAGCUUCUCUGACUCCUUGCUAGUGGGCACCAGUAGCUCCUGCAGGACACCCACAUCACCAAGAUUGGAGGCAGUGAGAGCUGAGCUCACUCAUGUGUUCUCAUGUGUUCCAGCUUUUCUUUGCUCUACCCACUUUAUAUCCAUCCUCCUUUCUCAGCUGCCUGCCAUACAGAUUUCAAGCUCCAGCAUGAGACACAAAGACAACAGCUUUACAGAGACUCUUUGACCAACUCCCACACUGUACCUCCAGUACAAUGUUGAGUGAUAAAAGAUUUAUCGAUAUUUUGCUGCUGUUUUCUAAUUUAUCAAGACCCACAGGAUUACCAGAUGCUCUGAUGGUUUUUCUGCCUUCCAGCAGCUGUCCUUUGCCCAAGACUUUUAUUGCAUGUUCAGCCACAUUCCUUGAGCCCAGAAUUGUGAAAUACCCUUUGGAAAAACGUCUGCAGAAUGUUAGUUCAGCUCUCCGUCGUUUUCUCCUCUCCAGAAUCUUGACCUCUCAAGUUCUAAGUUGUUUAUCAGCUUUCCAAUACCCAUAAAGAAAUUUUAUUUGUUUUUGUUGUUGUUUUAUCCAACUUCUCUCUAGUUAUUCUGAAAGGAUGCAUUUUUCUGACAUAAGUUACUCUACCAUGCUAAAAGUAGAAGUCCCAACCACAGAGUUUUAGAGCUUCCCCUUCAGUGAAGCUAUUGAUUUUGCUUAAGGAAGUUAGAUUGCUGAAUAAGAGAAUUUCUCUCUCUUUUUUUUAAUCAAGUAUAUUAUGAUCUCUAAAUACUAACUGUAUAGUAAUUAGUGUGCCUUUUGACAAAAUGUGAAUUUAAAUUAAUUAAGAGAACUUGCCAUUUGACUAUUUUGUCAAGAAACAAAUGAGAAAAAUAAAUAUACACAAUAAAAACAAA